rnacentral:ribozyme from 1 species
AGGAAGUAAGAAAGAUCCGAAGAAAGAAAAAUUUUCCCCCAAAGAGACGGGGAACAGGUCUGUUUUUGGGAGUUUUCAGUCUUGCUCACAGUCCCUGGAGUACUUCACCUCUUUUUUUCUCUUCUGCAUGUGGAAGAAGAACUCCCUCUCAAGUCUACUCCGCAGGCAAAAAGGAAAAGUCCGUGGAAUUAAUUUCUUUCUUUCCUUCAGGCCAACCUUUCCUUCGAUCCUGCAAUUCGUCAACGAUUCAAAAAAACGGGAAGGCAGGCAGGUAGACAAAAAAACCGAAACAUCUACACACGCAUGCAUGUGUGCAAUUCAAAAAGACACACACAUUGAUUCAUGAAUCUAGAGAGAGAG